rnacentral:lncRNA from 1 species
AGAUUAGCUUCCUGGAUGCAAUUCCUAUGGCUUCCACAGGGUGUCAGCAGUCUAUGUUCAAGGUUUCAGGCGUGUAACUUCAAAAAUGAAUAAGAAAUAACAGUUUUAGUAGUAGGACACAGUCUUGGAAAUUCGUGUUUGCGGGCGCCUCGAAGACAGGACGCACCUGCUAAAAUCGGAUUGCUAUUGAACAUACUUCCUUCUGUAAGAAAUAUUACAUUUUAGGGUAUCUGAGGAGUAAAUAGAAACGUAUUUUGACUUGUUGAAACAAAGUUUAGAUUUUCGGAUUCCUUUCUCUACAUGUUGAACGAGUGGGUUACUCAAAUCGAUGGCGCCAACUAAACUGACUUUUUGGGAUAUAAAGAGGGAUUUUAUCUAACAAAACGACACUACAUGUUAUAGCUGGGACACUUUGGAUGACAAAUCAGAGGAAGAUUUUCAAAAAGUAAGUGAAUAUUUAAUCGCUAUUUGUGAAUUUAUGAAACCUGUGCCGGUGGAAAAAUAUUUUGAUGUGGCGCUGUCCUCAAACAAUCGCAUGGCAUGUUUUCGCUGUAAUAGCUACUGUAAAUCAGACAGCGCAGUUAGAUUAACAAGAAUUUAAGAUUUCAACCAAUAUAAGACACUUAUAUGUACCUGAAUGUUUAAUAUCCAUAAUUUGUAUGAUUAUUUAUUUGAAUUACGCGCCCUCCAGUUUCACCGGAAGUUGCCCUGCUAGCGGGACGCCUAGCCCGUUCCAUCCCUGCAUGUCAGUCCCUUUCAGACAAUCCCCCUAUAACUGUUGCUCCUCCACAGUUUCUUCAGGCCGAGGGCUUUAACUUUCCUCUUGAGAAUUCAAAUCAGAAGUACAGUCGUAUAGCUUAUUGCAAUACUUCACCUCUUCGGGCAAAUAUUACCCUAGACUGUCCUGAUCAUCUAGUUGAGCAUUCCAGAUAAUUCCCCCAUCCCGGCAGAAAUGUCCCAUCCAUAUAGUAUGAUUUUAGAUGUGCAGAUAGACCAAAGCCUAGUCUAUUUUAGCAUUACUAUAGUCAAGUAUGUGGGUUAUGGUAUUUUAAUAUAGAUGUUACCAAUGUUCCCUCAAUUUUUUUCCAGCAAUGAGCAAAUUUCAGGCCUGCUAAGCACAAAUUUAAAUGUUGUGAAUAUUUUGUGCAACUUCCAGCACGUUUACUGUGAACACAGAGGUUGUGCGCGUUUUAAGUUACAGUAUUAACAGUGGUCAAGUAGGCUGUUGUGGACUACAAAUUGUCUUUAACUGGGCUAAUAACUCACUAACUAGCACAAAUGUGCACAAGUGGCUCGCUUUGAUCUCAAAACAAGCGCAUCUACUCAUGACCGCUCAUUCUGUAAACACAGUCCAGUUCAAAGUGAAUGGCACAGGUUUAUUUUGCAAUGGUCUAUUAGUCUAUUUGCUUAUAGGCCUACUGCAGCUCUGAUUGCUUAUGGCGCGCGGGUCUGUAUAGAGUAUGGGCCUGAGCCGUGCCUGUCAAUGCAAUAGAAUCCUACUCUGAUGCUUUCUGCCUACAACAAAAUCGCUUGCAUAGUUCGUUUUGCAUACUUCGUCUUGCAUAGUUUGUUUUUGUUUCGGUAUGUUGCACUAAACGUGGCUAAUAUUACAUUGAUUCGAUCACAAUUCUCACAGUAAAGAAAAACAUUGGUGGUGUUAACUAACAGGGAAAACUCCUGAAUGUUGAGUGAGGUUCAAACUUGUGUUUCUCUGAGCGGGCUUUAUUAUGUGCACCAGUCCAUGGGGAGCUUAAAGGGAACAUUAGAUGUUACCAUUUUAGUAAAAGUUACUUUUUUUGUCUUUUAGAUGGGCGGACUGGACACUCGGGUCUGCAGCUGCCAUUUUCUGGUGGAAAGAGAAAUGGUCCUGUAUUUACCAGAAAGGUCCACCAUGGCAGAAGAGGAAGAUCCAGACUGUUGAAACAAGAACAAACAAUCAGUCCAACAGGACUGUAUCCCUCAGACCUUCCGGUGCAUGGAUAUCCUGUUUCAAUGUGAUGGCAUCCUGUGCCAGUGUGAUCUGAGUGCAAGCGUCCAGUUGUAGACUACAGCAGAUCGAGCCUGUGGACGGACAGGUCAGUAACUCAUCAAAUGUGAUACAAUAUUGAAUUUGACAAUAUGCGCAGUAUGUUUGUCAUGUUUGUGUAUGGUUCUCAUUACUUAAGAAUGGGUGUUGACAGAACACUUGUAACGUUGUCCAAGGUGUGUUUGUGUUAUGAUAAACAAUGUAUUUUCUGUUCAGAUAAAGAUGGUGAUAAAGUGUUGAAAAAGACCCACCACUGACCAAAUGUCUCUUUGUUUUCCAGUCCAACAAGAGUGUCUCCCUCAGACCAUCCGGUGGAGGGACAUCCGGUGCCAGUGUGAUCCAGUUGUGGAGACUACAGCACAUCGAGCGUGUGGACGGACAGGUCAGUGUUAGGUUCUAAAUUAACCUUGUAAAACUCACGGACGAUUACUAAAGCUUAAAACACGUUUAUUCACCAAUUGGGUCAUACAGCUGCAUAAGACAAAUACAUAUUUCCACCAAUGGUACUAUACUAUAUACCCCAAUCUGGGUGUACAGUCGUGGUCAAAAGUUUUGAGAAUGACAUGAAUAUUAAUUUUCACAAAGUCUGCUGCCUCAGUUUGUUUGAUGGCAAUUUGCAUAUACUCCAGAAUGUUAUGAAGAGUGAUCAGAUGAGUUGCAAGUUCCUCUUUGCCAUGCACCACCCUCUCCGAGUUGGGCAUCUCCGGCGCGGCCCACGCUUGGAUUGCGUCCUACCUGACAGGUCGCUCCUACCAGGUGGCGUGGCGAGAAUCUGUCUCCGCACCAUGCGCUCUCACCACUGGUGUCCCCCAGGGCUCUGUUCUAGGCCCUCUCCUAUUCUCGCUAUACACCAAGUCACUUGGCUCUGUCAUAUCCUCACAUGGUCUCUCCUAUCAUUGCUAUGCAGACGACACACAAUUAAUCUUCUCCUUUCCCCCUUCUGAUAACCAGGUGGCAAAUCGCGAAUCGCAUCUCUGCAUGUCU